rnacentral:rRNA from 1 species
AGAGUUUGAUCAUGGCUCAGGAUGAACGUUGGCGGCGUGCCUAACACAUGCAAGUCGAACGGGAAGCCCCUUUCGGGGGGCGGAGAGUGGCGAACGGGUGCGUAACACGUAGUUAACCUGCCCCCGGGAACGGGACAACCGCUGGAAACGGCGGCUAAUACCGGACGGGGCGAUGUACGGGGGACUGUACGUCGUGAAAGGGGUGCGGAAGCACUUGCCCGGGGAGGGGGCUGCGGCCCAUCAGCUGGAUGGUGGGGUAAGGGCUCACCAUGGCGAUGACGGGUAGGGGAUCUGAGAGGGUGGUCCUCCACACCGGGACUGAGACACGGCCCGGACUCCUGCGGGAGGCAGCAGUGAGGGAUAUUGCGCAAUGGGCGAAAGCCUGACGCAGCGACGCCGCGUGGGUGAAGAAGGUUUUCGGAUCGUAAAGCCCUUUUCUGCGUGACGAGGAUGACGGUAGCGCAGGAAGAAGUGUCGGCUAACUUCGUGCCAGCAGCCGCGGUAACACGUAGGACACGAACGUUAUCCGGAAUUACUGGGCGUAAAGGGCUUGCAGGCGGCUCUUCAAGACGGACAUGAAAGCCCGGGGCUCAACUCCGGGAGGCUGUCGGUGACUGGGGGGCUUGAGCGUGGGAGAGGGGCGUGGAAUUCCGCGUGUAGUGGUGAAAUGCGUAGAGAUGCGGAGGAACACCGGAGGCGAAGGCGGCGCCCUGGCCCACGGCUGACGCUGAGGAGCGAAAGCAUGGGGAGCGAACGGGAUUAGAAACCCCGGUAGUCCAUGCUGUAAACGAUGUGCACUCGAUGUCCGGGGCGUUACGGCGUUCUGGGUGUCCCAGCGAACGCGGUAAGUGCACCGCCUGGGGAGUACGGUCGCAAGGCUAAAACUCAAAGGAAUUGACGGGGGCCCGCACAAGCAGCGGAGCGUGUGGUUUAAUUCGAGGCUACGCGAAGAACCUUACCCGGGUUUGACAUCAUGGUGGUAGGGAGCCGAAAGGCGACUGACCUUCGGGAGCCAUGACAGGUGCUGCAUGGCUGUCGUCAGCUCGUGCCGUGAGGUGUUCGGUUAAGUCCGAAAACGAGCGCAACCCCUGGUGCCAGUUACAGGUGUCUGGCGCGACUGCCCGUGACAAACGGGAGGAAGGUGGGGAUGACGUCAAGUCAGCAUGGUCUGGAUAUUCGGGGCUACACACACGCUACAAUGGGGGGUACAACGGGUAGCGAAGGGGCGACCUGGAGCCAAUCCUGCAAAGCCUCUCGUAGUUCGGAUUGCAGGCUGCAACCCGCCUGCAUGAAGGGGGAGUUGCUAGUAACCGCCGGUCAGCACACGGCGGUGAAUACGUUCCCGGGCCUUGUACACACCGCCCGUCACGUCAUGGAAGCCGGUCAUGCCUGAAGUCGGGAGGCCAACCCUGAGAGGGGGAGCUACCG